GGAUGGGUCUCUUGUGGAUAGGUUGAUGCUCUCCCUGGGGGAGGGUGGUGAGUGAAUUCUCAUUCUUUUAGUUUCCUUGAGGGCUGAUUGUUAAAAAGAGCCUGCACCUCCCUCCCCUUGCUUCCUCUCUUGCUAUGUGGCUUUUGCACACGCUGGCUCCGCUCUGCCUUCUGCCAUGAAGGGAAGCAACCAAAGGACCUCAUCAGAGAGCGACCGUGAGGUCAGCAGGGAUUAUUAUCUCCAUUUGACAGCCGAGGUAACUGGCUCAGAGGCUUUGAGUCAGCCUUAAAAUUGCGGCUCCACUGGCGACUCUAUGAAUGACUUGAGCUCGGUACUUAACCUCUCUCAGCCACAGUUCCUGGCCUCCCACCUGGGGCAGACAGCGCCUACCUCCCAGGAUGGCUGUGAGAAUUAAACGAGGCAACUCCUGGAAGUUCCCAGCACACGCCUGGCAGGUUGAGCAGGCGCUCUCUUAGCUAAGGGAUCUGCUUCCACACACCUGCCACAAAACCCUCACAUUUCAACCUCAGCAAAACCAUCAUCAAUGGAUGCCACGUCAUGGAACUUCUGAAUAGUCUGAACAGUAAAAACCACAAAUGUUAAAACUGAGAUUGUUUGGCACUCAUGUAUAAUUAUAAAUAUGGUGCUGAA
rnacentral:lncRNA from 10 species